AUGAGCGGCCACCAUGAACUGAUUCCCGUAAGAAGUCUCGGCGACCGGGCAUUGUUCGUCUCCUUGGACAGGUGCUUGUCCGUGUCGUCCAACAACCUUCCGUCCAUCAGCAGCAACUCGAUUUACCUCACGGUAUCACUCCCGGAUCCGGUCGUCGUGCAUUGUUUGAGCAGCCGAUCGUUCGAGCGGCCAACGGCGUUGUGUCAGGUACACGAUGGAAAGGAGAUGGUCUGCCCAUCCGUGCGGCCCUUCACUCUUGCUGAUCAUCUUCUCACCUACUGCAAUCAUCAUGAAUGGUCAAAUGGACUGAUGUUUCAUGAGUACUACUUCAUACCUGAGUCUUUUCAAGGGCUGUGGAAGAAAAUAAGAACCCAGGAUUCCCAAGUGAGGAUUUCACGCGUGAGAGAUUGA
rnacentral:rRNA from 1 species